rnacentral:rRNA from 1 species
GAUGAACGCUGGCGGCGUGCCUAAUACAUGCAAGUCGAGCGAAUGGAUUAAGAGCUUGCUCUUAUGAAGUUAGCGGCGGACGGGUGAGUAACACGUGGGUAACCUGCCCAUAAGACUGGGAUAACCCCGGGAAACCGGGGCUAAUACCGGAUAACAUUUUGAACCGCAUGGUUCGAAAUUGAAAGGCGGCUUCGGCUGCCACUUAUGGAUGGACCCGCGUCGCAUUAGCUAGUUGGUGAGGUAACGGCUCACCAAGGCAACGAUGCGUAGCCGACCUGAGAAGGUGAUCGGCCACACUGGGACUGAGACACGGCCCAGACUCCUACGGGAGGCAGCAGUAGGGAAUCUUCCGCAAUGGACGAAAGUCUGACGGAGCAACGCCGCGUGAGUGAUGAAGGCUUUCGGGUCGUAAAACUCUGUUGUUAGGGAAGAACAAGUGCUAGUUGAAUAAGCUGGCACCUUGACGGUACCUAACCAGAAAGCCACGGCUAACUACGUGCCAGCCGCCGCAGUAA